UACAGGGGGUGCAAACGUUGCUCGGAAUUACUGGGCGUAAAGCGUGCGCAGGCGGUUCGUUAAGUCAGAUGUGAAAGCCCCGGGCUCAACCUGGGAACUGCAUUUGAAACUGGCGGGCUUGAGUGUGGCAGAGGGGGGUGGAAGUUCCGCGUGUAGCAGUGAAAUGCGUAGAGAUGCGGAGGAACACCGAUGGCGAAGGCAGCCCCCUGGGCCAACACGUGACGCUCGAGGCACGAAGCGUGGGAGCAAACAGG
rnacentral:rRNA from 1 species